rnacentral:lncRNA from 1 species
GUGAUAAGCUUUUAUAAAUAAAACCAAGUCACAUAUUCUUCAUUGUAUGUGAUCAGAACUUGACAGUAGCAGUCCAUAAAUUUGUUCCCAGGAAACAAAUCUUGAAGAGAGAUUAAGUGUAGUUCUGAAUGUACACAUCAACAUGUAUGUAUAGAAAUCCAUGAAUUAAUUGACGCAUGGUAAAUUUGGGUGACUGAACAAAGAGAAAAAUGAUUUUUUGAAUACUUACUAAAAAUUGU